CAGCAGCCGCGGUAAUACCGUAGGGUGGCAAGCGUUGCUCNGNAUCNNCGGGCGUAAAGCUCGAGUAGGCGGCGAAAUAAGUCAGAAGUGAAAACCCCCGGCUCAACCGUGGAAGUGCAUCUGAAACUGGUUUUCUAGAGCGUGUAAGAGGNAGGCGGUAUUCCCGGUGUAGCGGUGAAAUGCGCAGAUAUCGGGAGGAACACCAGUGGCGAAGGCGGCUUUCUGGUCGCACAACUGACGCUCAGUCGCGAAAGCGUGGGGAGCAAACAGGAUUAGAUAACCCGGUAGUNCACGCCGUAAACGAUGGGCCCUAGGUGUUGGAAGGGUAAAACCAUUCAG
rnacentral:rRNA from 1 species